AGCAGCCGCGGUAAUUCCAGCUCCAAUAGCGUAUAUUAAAGUUGUUGCAGUUAAAAAGCUCGUAGUUGAAUUUCGGGAUCAAUAUGUCGGUCGUGCCUUCGGUACGUACUGGCAUCAUUGGUUUCUCCCUUCUGACAAACCAUGAUGUCAUUAAUUUGGUGUUAUGGGGAGUUAGGACUGUUACUUUGAAAAAAUUAGAGUGUUUAAAGCAGGCAUUAGCUUGAAUACAUUAGCAUGGAAUAAUGAAAUAGGACGUUUGACCCUAUUUUGUUGGUUUCUUAGGAUCGACGUAAUGAUUAAUAGGGAUAGUUGGGGGCAUUAGUAUUCAAUUGUCAGAGGUGAAAUUCUUGGAUUUAUUGAAGACUAACUACUGCGAAAGCAUUUGCCAAGGAUGUUUUCAUUAAUCAAGAACGAAAGUUAGGGGAUCGAAGACGAUCAGAUACCGUCGUAGUCUUAACCAUAAACUAUGCCGACUAGGGAUCGGAUGAUGUUAAUUUUUAAUGACUCAUUCGGCGCCUUA
rnacentral:rRNA from 1 species